UUUGUACUGGGCAUAGGUUACCUCU
rnacentral:miRNA from 1 species